CGAACGGGUGAGUAACGCGUGAGGAACCUGCCUCAAAGAGGGGGACAACAGUUGGAAACGACUGCUGAUACCGCAUAAGCCCACGGCUCGGCAUCGAGCAGAGGGAAAAGGAACAAUCCGCUUUGAGAUGGCCUCGCGUCCGAUUAGCUAGUUGGUGAGGUAACGGCCCACCAAGGCGACGAUCGGUAGCCGGACUGAGAGGUUGAACGGCCACAUUGGGACUGAGACACGGCCCAG
rnacentral:rRNA from 1 species